GUUAUCAGUCUAUCAGUGAAUUAAUCUAUUGACUAGAUCCAGAGCCUUUUAUGAUUUAAGCCUCCUUAAAACUCCUCUGAUUAUUGCAAUUGGGAUGAAUCUUUGAUAGAUAAGGUGUGUGUGUGUGUUUAUUUUGUAUCCAAACCCUUAUAUUCUGCCCUCAUAAGCUUAUGCCCAUAUACUAAUGAAAAAUUCAUUUAAGUCUGUUUUUAAGGAUCCACACACUAUCAGCGGUUUUUAUUGUCCAGGUCCAAAGUCAACUCUGAAGAGGUUCUAAGCUGGGACCUCUGGGAAAGAAACCAACAAAUGGGGUACGUGGUUGCUUUAGGAAACAGUGGGGACCAGUGUCAUGGUUCAGCCAGUGAAGUGCUUCACGGUAAACCUGGUGGCCUGAGUUCAAUCUGGGAGCUGAACAGAGGUGCAAGGAGAGAACCAACUCCACGGAGCUGUCCUCUGACCUCCACAUGCACGGUGGCAUAUGUCUGUCUACAUGUCACAUGCACACAC
rnacentral:lncRNA from 1 species